UGGUGAAUUUUGGACAAUGGGCGCACGCCUGAUCCAGCCAUGCCGCGUGCAGGAUGAAGGCCUUCGGGUUGUAAACUGCUUUUGUACGGAACGAAAAGGUUUGGCCUAAUAAGCUGAGCUCAUGACGGUACCGUAAGAAUAAGCACCGGCUAACUACGUGCCAGCAGCCGCGGUAAUACGAAGGGUGCAAGCGUUACUCGGAAUUACUGGGCGUAAAGCGUGAGUAGGUGGUUUCUUAAGUCUGCUGUGAAAGCCCCGGGCUCAACCUGGGAAUUGCAUUUGUGACUGCAUAGCUGGAGUGCGGCAGAGGGGGAUGGAAUUCCGCGUGUAGCAGUGAAAUGCGUAGAUAUGCGGAGGAACACCGAUGGCGAAGGCAAUCCCCUGGGCCUGCACUGACGCUCAUGCACGAAAGCGUGGGGAGCAAACA
rnacentral:rRNA from 1 species